CGCUGAACUUAAGCAUAUCAAUAAGCGGAGGAAAAGAAACCAACAGGGAUUGCCUCAGUAACGGCGAGUGAAGCGGCAACAGCUCAAAUUUGAAAUCUGGCUCCUUCGGGGUCCGAAUUGUAAUUUGCAGAGGAUGCUUCGGGUUCGGUUCCGGUCUAAGUUCCUUGGAACAGGACGUCACAGAGGGUGAGAAUCCCGUACGUGACCGGCCACCACGCCCGUGUGAAGCUCCUUCGACGAGUCGAGUUGUUUGGGAAUGCAGCUCAAAAUGGGUGGUAAAUUUCAUCUAAAGCUAAAUAUUGGCCAGAGACCGAUAGCGCACAAGUAGAGUGAUCGAAAGAUGAAAAGCACUUUGGAAAGAGAGUCAAACAGUACGUGAAAUUGUUGAAAGGGAAGCGCUUGCAACCAGACUUGCCCGCGGGUGAUCAACCGGUAUUCUUAUCGGUGCACUCACCCGCGGUCAGGCCAGCAUCGGUUCGGGCGGCUGGAUAAAGUCCACUGGAACGUAGCUCCUUCCGGGGAGUGUUAUAGCCAGAGGUGCAAUGCAGCCCGCCCGGACCGAGGACCGCGCUUCGGCUAGGAUGCUGGCGUAAUGGUUGUAAGCGACCCGUCUUGAAACACGGACCA
rnacentral:rRNA from 1 species